rnacentral:tRNA from 3 species
GCCCUCAUAGUUCAAUGGAUAGAACAUCGGUUUGCGGAACCGACAAUUGUGGUUCGAUUCCACAUGGGGGCA